rnacentral:lncRNA from 1 species
UUAUUUUCGGUUUUUGUCGUUAUUUUGUUCGAUCUGUGUCAUUAAUAUGAAAUUUCUCACUUUGUCAAAUGUGAUUAUUUGAGCUUUUUGGUGUAAAUAAAGCUUUUAACUUUAUAAUUUUUCUGAUGGUUCGGGUAUUUUUGUUCUGUUUCUCUUUGCAUUCUUUUUGUUGAUUGAAUUGGAACUUUGGGGAAUUGUAUGCUUUUUUAGUGGGAUGCUCUCAUGUUCAGCAGUUUUUAAGUAAUCAAGUUGCUUAGCACUAUAUAACUGUCAAAUUUGUAAACUUUAGGUCUUGAAGUUUGGUUUCCGUUUUUUUUAGUCAAUAAAAAUUAUCUCAUAGUUCUUGUUUGAAUUUGUAAACUCGAUCUCAUAUUUUCUUGUUUGUAGAUGAUCAUGGCAAAAGUUGUUGUUCCCAAUCCAAAAUGGUACAAUACUAGUAGUUCAAAUUGUUUAAUGAUUCACAAGUUGCUUCAUUUGUAAUGUUUAUGUUAUCGGAUAAAUACUCAAUGACAUUCUUCCAGAUGGAUGUAUGAAUUUUUGAGAAGGAUUCCACGAAAUCUAUCCGACUUAACUUUUUGUAUUCAAACAGCUGGUGUAUAGGAAGCUACUGGAUGAAGCGAUGGUCUCUUAGACAAAGUUAGUUGGUAGCUCAAACACAAGCAGUUAGAAACAAUAUUGAUUAGCAAAUGAACUUGGUUCAAGUGUCCUUUUAGGGAUUGUUUGCCCAUUCCCUACCGGGGAAAGAACAUUUAUAUCGUCUUGUAGUGUUUUUGAACUGCGCAAACCCCAUGCUCUUUGUUUUGCAACAUGACAAGUUUGAGAACUCAUUUUUUUCGAGUUUCAAAUAUCUUGCUAAGCACCCAACGGUGUGGCCUGGUGGUGAAUGAAGUGGGUUGAGAACCUGAGGUCUCCGGUUCAAAGCCAGCAUAGACAAAAGGCCUGGACACCAUGGUUAUCAAAAUAAAGAAAAGCAAAAGAAAUAUCUUGCUAAGAAAGAGUCUUUGCAGUUUAGCCAAAAAUAUCCUUAUGUCUGCUGUCUUAGGGCUCAUUUGUUUGCUCUUAAUGGAUAUCUGAAUCUGAAUGGUUCAGACUUCAAACCAUUAAGUGCAUUUAUUUUUUAUUAAGAUUUUAGCUCUUAAUAGGUCUUAAUCAUUCAGAUCUAGAAUCAAGUCUUAAUAGGUCUGAAGAGGUAUUCUGGUGUUAGAUAAUAUUCACCGCCACUCUAUUCAUAAUCAUCAAUCACCACCACUAAUCCCCUCUGCCACCACCACCAUUAUCAACCACCACCCACCGCCACCAACCACCUCCGCCAUCACAACCACCAUCGACAACAAAUAUCACUACCAACCACUAUUGUCAAUCGCUACCACACCUACUACCUCUAUUAUUCUAAUUCUAUUCACCACCACCACUGCUGUCAAUAGUACCACCAUCACCAAUCACUACCGGCCAAUCUCUACUAUCGAUCAACUCAUCUAUCACAACUUCCACCACCGCUAACUACCACUAAUACAUCUACUAUCGAUCAACUCAUCUAUCACAACUUCCACCACCGCUAACUACCACUAAUACAUCACAACCUCCACACAUCUUCGACCGUCACUACCAUUGUCACUAGUAACGCUACCUCUACCAUCACUUCAACCACUACCAUCACUACAAUUUAUCUCUACUAACAAGCAUCUCCACCAUCACAACUAACAACAUCUCCAAGUAGCACCAACACAUUGUCAACCAUCAUGCAUUCAUUUUUCAAUCAUCACAAUUAACACCUCCAACUUCUAACAUCAAGCAACGUCACAUCACAACCACCACCACCACUAUCAACCGCCACCAUCAUUACAGUCACUACAAUACCAACCAUUACAACUAUCACCACUAACAUUACUAAUCCCUAACAUCAAUCAUUGUCACCGCAACCACCAUUAUAAACCAUCUCCACUAUCACUAACAAACAUAAAUAUUUUUUUUCAAUCAAAUAAUAAUUUUGUUGUAUUCAAUUAUAUUUUCUGAUAUAUAAUUAGUUCUUUAUUUGAAUUGUAUUUUUUAUUUUAUUAUAUAUACAAAUAAAUUUUUUUACACAUUCAGAUAUUGAAAAACAAACAACCUUAAUCAUUCAGUUUUUAGAUCUAAAGAAAACAUCUUUAUCAUUCAGAUGUGCAUUCAGAUUCAGACAUCUGAAUCUUAAAAAAAACAAAUGCAGCCUUAGGAUCUAUCUUUUGGAGAUUAAAAUAAAUUUUAAAGCCUUCUAGGACUGCUAAUAUUGGAACCAGAUGCUACUUUCUCUGUCAGGAUUUUGUGCUAUUUUAAAAUUAUGAUCACUAAAUCCUUUCAUUUGUGUAAUUUUCCCGCUAUAGCGGAAGUCAAUAUUGGUCAUUCCUGCAUAGUAGGCAGAUCCCACUAUAAUGAGGCCGUUAUAGUGGGAAUUAGACCUCUAUAAUGGACACUAUAUGCAUCUAUUUGUUUGUUUGACGUAAUGUGUCUUAAGAUUUUCCUAUUUACAUGUUGCAUUGCCUGUUAAAGACCAUAUCUCAAACAGAAGUACCCUUAUGUAUUGGAAUUAUCAAAACAUGCUUUUAGCAGCUUAAGUUCCCU